GCACUAUCGGCUUUCCUCCAAAGACCGCAAACGCCCAAAAAUGUCUAGAUUUUGAUCCCCAUUUAUUAUCAAAUUUUUUCAGUCUUCCAUCGACGAUUGUACUUGUAAAAAAAUGGGUUACAGAGUCCGCAAGAGGAUCAAGAUUAAAUAAAAAGACACUGUGCAUUGUAGAAAUAUGAAUGAAAUAGUAAAUUCAUUCGAGAUAUUAUUCAUUCUAAAAAGACUUAAAAAAUCGUGGUGAAUAACAAGGAAAUACUCGACAGUGAUUAAAACAUCAUCAAUCAUUUUACACAAGUGACGAGUGAAAAUUAUUGCAUCAUAGAAUCAGUUAUUCUCACUCUCUCCUAAUGAGCAGUAUUAUAUAUUGGUUAUACACCAUAGUAUGAAUUAUGGAGAAAUUGGCGAGGUUAUGAUGACCGCUAAAAAGAAGGUGUCAAUGGGCGUGUUUCUCUGACGAAUGGAUUGUACCCGCUACAACAGAAUUUAUUCAUU